rnacentral:lncRNA from 1 species
CAUAAUUUUAAGAACAUGUUCAUAGAAAGGGGAAUUCAUUACAAAGAAUUAUACCCGUAAUAAGAAAUACUGGAUCUGUCAAUGACCCGACUUAUUUUAAUAUCUCAUUUACUGUUAUCUGUUUUUGUCCAUUUUAAUUCCUUGUUAUCUGUUAUAAGCCAAAUCAAUUUGCUGUUUUGCUGUUAUUGGGACCCCCCUUGCCCCCCCUC